GACGAACGCUGGCGGCGUGCCUAAUACAUGCAAGUUGAGCGAUGAAGAUUGGUGCUUGCACCAAUUUGAAGAGCAGCGAACGGGUGAGUAACGCGUGGGGAAUCUGCCUUUGAGCGGGGGACAACAUUUGGAAACGAAUGCUAAUACCGCAUAACAACUUUAAACAUAAGUUUUAAGUUUGAAAGAUGCAAUUGCAUCACUCAAAGAUGAUCCCGCGUUGUAUUAGCUAGUUGGUGAGGUAAAGGCUCACCAAGGCGAUGAUACAUAGCCGACCUGAGAGGGUGAUCGGCCAAAUUGGGACUGAGACACGGCCCAAACUCCUACGGGAGGCAGCAGUAGGGAAUCUUCGGCAAUGGACGAAAGUCUGACCGAGCAACGCCGCGUGAGUGAAGAAGGUUUUCGGAUCGUAAAACUCUGUUGGUAGAGAAGAACGUUGGUGAGAGUGGAAAGCUCAUCAAGUGACGGUAACUACACAGAAAGGGACGGCUAACUACGUG
rnacentral:rRNA from 1 species